GCCCUUUUGGCUCAGUGGAUAGAGUGUUGGCCUGCAGAACAAAUGGUUCUGGGUUCAAUUCCGGUCAAGGGCA
rnacentral:tRNA from 1 species